rnacentral:rRNA from 1 species
AUGCAAGUCGAGCGCACCUUCGGGUGAGCGGCGGACGGGUUAGUAACGCGUGGGAACAUACCCUUUUCUACGGAAUAGCCUCGGGAAACUGAGAGUAAUACCGUAUAAGCCCUUCGGGGGAAAGAUUUAUCGGGAAAGGAUUGGCCCGCGUUAGAUUAGAUAGUUGGUGGGGUAAUGGCCUACCAAGUCUACGAUCUAUAGCUGGUUUUAGAGGAUGAUCAGCAACACUGGGACUGAGACACGGCCCAGACUCCUACGGGAGGCAGCAGUGGGGAAUCUUAGACAAUGGGCGCAAGCCUGAUCUAGCCAUGCCGCGUGUGUGAUGAAGGUCUUAGGAUCGUAAAGCACUUUCGCCAGGGAUGAUAAUGACAGUACCUGGUAAAGAAACCCCGGCUAACUCCGUGCCAGCAGCCGCGGUAAUACGGAGGGGGUUAGCGUUGUUCGGAAUUACUGGGCGUAAAGCGGACAUAGGCGGCCUGGAAAGUCGGGGGGUGAAA